rnacentral:misc_RNA from 1 species
GCUUACACAAAGUUGUACUAACUGAUGGAUCUUUAAGCCAUAAAUUACACUGACGGCUUUGACCAACAGUGAACAGAGUACUACAAAUAACCAAGUGUGGAUUCUGUGAGCACUGCGAAAGAAGUUUUCCCCACGCCGGCUUCGAAUUUGACUUUGCCAUUCUCAUCGUGCGCUUCUUUGUGCGAUUGAGCAUGGUAGCCACAACCGCCUUAGAUUUCUCCGCGUCGGCUGCUACAUCACCUAAAGGUUGCGGCGUCAUGAUAGCCUGGCCUUCUGCCUGAAGAUCGUGCGAAUUCUCGGGAACAGCCUCAUCGCAUACGUUAUUGACCUUCAACGAACCAGUAUCA